UGGGGAAUAUUGCACAAUGGAGGGAACUCUGAUGCAGCGACGCCGCGUGAGUGAUGAAGGAAUUCGUUUCGUAAAACUCUGUUCUAUGGGAAGAAAAGGACUGUACCAUAGGAGAAAGCUCCGGCUAAAUACGUGCCAGCAGCCGCGGUAAUACGUAUGGAGCGAGCGUUGUCCGGAAUUAUUGGGCGUAAAGGGUGCGCAGGCGGCUUUACAAGUUGGAUGGGAAAUAUUGUGGGUCAACCACAAACGUGCAUCCAAAACUGCAAAGCUUGAGUUAAGGAGAGGUAAGUGGAAUUCCUGGUGUAGCGGUGGAAUGCGUAGAUAUCAGGAGGAAUACCGGUGGCGAAGGCGACUUACUGGACUUAAACUGACGCUCAGGCACGAAAGCGUGGGGAGCAAACAGG
rnacentral:rRNA from 1 species